AAUGCUUUUUUAUGCAAACUAUAAUUACAAUAAAUAAUAGAAAUAUUAAUAGUUUUAAUAAGAAUAGAAAGAGAUAUUUAUUCUAUCCCGUAACUUUUUCAUUCUAAGCUCUAAUAACAGCUUUGAUUAAUUUAGUAUAACCAAUAUUCUGAGUUACAAGAAGGGGUCCUGUUAUUUGAUCUAAUUGGCUAUGAUUUAUAUAUUUAGAAAAUAAUAUUUAUAUAUAUAUUUUUUUAUCUAUUUAUAAAUAUUCAUAAAUACUUCAUUUUCCUUCAAAUACGACUAGGAGUUUUCUUCUACUAUGUUUUUUAUGUAUAUGCACAAUUGGUUAUUUUCACCCUCGGGAAAUCAGCACGUUCCGGUCAAAUGGACAGCGACCCUGAUUACAAGUUGACCAUACUUUUAUUCUUAUUGCUUUGCACAUUGAGUUUGCACUGAAUAUGUGAACAAGUUUGGGAGAAAAUUAAUUAGAAAGGGAGAGGUAGACGUUAAAGGGCAGAAUUAGAAUCCCAUAGCAACAAAGCACGACCUAGCAAUAUAUAGGUCACCUUCCUUACUGACUACCAACAGAAGAUGCCGGUAUUUUACUCACUGCUGAGUGAUUGUCGAUGAAGAAGGCAUCCCCUACGUGCUGGCGCGAGCUUCAUUCAGAUUUGCUAAAUAUUAGUACCUGGGACACAACGCAUUCAAUCGACAGGUCGGGGCGGAUGGCACCACUCGUUCGUAAAUAUUUUUUUAAUACGUUUUCCAUUUUUUUUUUUUUUCAAUGCACAUCAGCCAUU